AAGUGGGUGAUCCUAUGCUGCCUAGAAAAUCUUCGUGAGCGAGUUGUUAGCCGCCCGUACCCUAAACCGACACAGGUGGAUAGGUAGAGAAUACCAAGGCGAUCGAGAGAAUCGUGGUGAAGGAACUCGGCAAAAUACCCCCGUAACUUCGGGAUAAGGGGGACCUGAUGUGUCACGGCACUAGCUGUCGGAAGCACUGAGGGUCGCAGAGACCAGGCCCAAGCGACUGUUUACUAAAAACACAGGUCCGUGCCAAGUUGAAAGACGAUGUAUACGGACUGACUCCUGCCCGGUGCUGGAAGGUUAAGGGGAAGUGUUAGAGCAAUCGAAGCACCGAACUUAAGCCCCAGUAAACGGCGGUGGUAACUAUAACCAUCCUAAGGUAGCGAAAUUCCUUGUCGGGUAAGUUCCGACCUGCACGAAUGGAGUAACGAUUUGGGCGCUGUCUCCACCACGAACUCGGCGAAAUUGCACUACGAGUAAAGAUGCUCGUUACGCGCAGCAGGACGGAAAGACCCCGGGACCUUUACUAUAGUUUGGUAUUGGUGAUCGGUACAGCUUGUGUAGGAUAGGUGGGAGACUUUGAAGCAGGGACGCCAGUUCUUGUGGAGUCAACGUUGAAAUACCACUCUGGCUGUUCUGGUUAUCUAACCUAGGUCCAUUAUCUGGAUCAGGGACAGUGCCUGAUGGGUAGUUUGACUGGGGCGGUCGCCUCCCAAAAAGUAACGGAGGCGCCCAAAGGUUCCCUCAGCCUGGUUGGCAAUCAGGUGUUGAGUGUAAGUGCACAAGGGAGCUUGACUGUGAGAGGGACACCUCAAGCAGGGACGAAAGUCGGGACUAGUGAUCUGACGGUGGCACGUGGAAGCGCCGUCACUCAACGGAUAAAAGGUACCCCGGGGAUAACAGGCUGAUCUUGCCCGAGCGUCCAUAGCGACGGCAUGGUUUGGCACCUCGAUGUCGGCUCGUCGCAUCCUGGGGCUGGAGUCGGUCCCAAGGGUUGGGCUGUUCGCCCAUUAAAGCGGCACGCGAGCUGGGUUCAGAACGUCGUGAGACAGUUCGGUCCCUAUCCGCUGCGCGCGUAGGAAUCUUGAGAGAGGCUGUCCUUAGUACGAGAGGACCGGGACGGACAAACCUCUGGUGUGCCAGUUGUUCUGCCAAGAGCACGGCUGGUUGGCUACGUUUGGAAGUGAUAACCGCUGAAAGCAUCUAAGCGGGAAGCACGUCUCAAGAUGAGGGUUCCCACAGAGUUAAUCUGGUAAGGCCCCCGGAAGACCACCGGGUUGAUAGGUCGGAUGUGGAAGUGCAGCAAUGCAUGGAGCUGACCGAUACUAAUAGGCCGAGGGCUUGUUUCC
rnacentral:rRNA from 1 species